AAUGUUUUCCUGUGGUGAAGGUGCCAGGGUAAACGGGUCAAAAAGUGGUGGAGAACUGGGUUAGCAAAAGGUGAAGGUGAAGAUCAUUAGAGGUUUUAGGGCUGGCUGUGGCUGUUCUGCUGGGUUUGUGUGGCUGUGCCCAGAGGGCGGAGUUCCUGCAUAUUCCUACCUCACCGGAGAACCUGCCCUCAACUCCACUGCAGUUUAUUCCAGACAGAUGGGACCCUCCAGAAAGAAAACCUGCCCAGCAAUCUCAGCAAGCCUUCCCGCCAGCAGGGUAGGUGAAGUUAAAGAAAACCUCCACUACUUCUCCCUACAGGCAGAUCCCUGUGAUGCGAAUUAAAAUACAUGACAGACUUCUGUCUACACAUACUAUUUUCCUCAACCCGAAUAAUAACCAGCUCGCCUGCACGACUGAAGUAGAGUUUUAAAAACCCCGGUUACAUCUGAACUGUUUGUGCCCAAAGUUAGGAUUGUUCCUCUUCUCCCUCCCCCGCCCCCCUCUUUAAUUUUAACCAGUUAAGAGGACUAAAGCCAAGGAAGUGACACAUGUGCAGUGUUUUGUUUGGCUUUUUAAGACGCUGGGCAGAACUACCUGUACCUGCAAGAAAAGAAAGGAUGCCAGGGUGGUGGCGAUACUUUUCCGUGCAGACUUGAUCAUUCGAGGUAAACGUGGGGUUAACUGGAUCUUAAUAACUGAGUAGGUAUCUUUGGAGGAAGAAGGUGACAUGAAGAGGCGCGUCUGACAGCCAAAGUGGGGGAACUGUCCGGGAGAAGGACACAUGAUGAAUUGGGAGCUGCGUGGUCACGGUGCAAAGGCAGAACAGGACAGUGUGCGGUUACCAAACGCUUCCCGCCCCCCCCCCCCCUUACCUCUUGAACAACAACGCAAAAAGAAUUGGGGGGGAGGGGAAGAGAGAUGCGGGUUGGGAGGAAGAGCUCGGAGGAGUUAGUGGCUGUCUAGAGUGUAAACACGAGCCCAUCAUCUCCUCGGGAGGAGGGGAGUCUGCUUUUGUCAAACCUGCUAGUGUCUGGAAGAUAAAGGCAAAGAGGCCACUGGACCAGCCUGAGAUUCUGCCUUGAAAUCUGGACCCAAAAUGAUUCAAAGGACCAAAAAAGGGGGGGAAAUAGUCUUAAAAUCUCCCAAGCAGGCAGCUGUCCGGGGUUAAGACCGGUUACUUGUUAAUUGCCUUGAUACCGGAGAGAGGAAAGGCUGCCGCAGAACGCGAGGGGGAAAACGGGUUUAAACAAUAUCUGAUUCCUUUCGUAACUUGGUGCAAGGCUCAGUUCCGCUGCAGCCCAGGCAGCUCUGGAGGUUGUGGGGAGGCUGGAGAUGUAAAUGUUGUAACUUCUCGGAUUGCGUGUGACCCUGAGCGGUAUUGCCAUGAUAACAAUAAACACUUUAAAAUCGA